rnacentral:rRNA from 1 species
GAUGAACGCUGGCGGCGUGYUUAACACAUGCAAGUCGAACGGGGAACAUUUUAAAGAAGCUUCGGCAGAUUUAGCUUGUUCCUAGUGGCGGACGGGUGAGUAACGCGUGGGUAACCUGCCUCACACUGGGGGAUAACAGUCAGAAAUGACUGCUAAUACCGCAUAAGCGCACAGAGCUGCAUGGCUCAGUGUGAAAAACUCCGGUGGUGUGAGAUGGACCCGCGUUGGAUUAGCCAGUUGGCAGGGUAACGGCCUACCAAAGCGACGAUCCAUAGCCGGCCUGAGAGGGUGGACGGCCACAUUGGGACUGAGACAUGGCCCAGACUCCUACGGGAGGCAGCAGUGGGGAAUAUUGCACAAUGGGGGAAACCCUGAUGCAGCGACGCCGCGUGAAGGAAGAAGUAUCUCGGUAUGUAAACUUCUAUCAGCAGGGAAGAAAAUGACGGUACCKACUAKAGCCCCGAYAUUCC